GCAAGUCGAACGGUAACAGGAAGUGCUUGCACUUUGCUGACGAGUGGCGGACGGGUGAGUAAUACUUGGGAAUAUGCCUUUGUGAGGGGGAUAACCAUUGGAAACGAUGGCUAAUACCGCAUAAUAUCCUUUCUUUUACGAGAGGGGACCAAAGAGGGGACUUGUUCCUCUCGCGCAAAGAGUAGCCCAAGCGAGAUUAGCUAGUUGGUGGGGUAAAGGCCUACCAAGGCGACGAUCUCUAGCUGUUCUGAGAGGAAGAUC
rnacentral:rRNA from 1 species